rnacentral:rRNA from 1 species
UACGAAGGGGGCUAGCGUUGUUCGGAAUCACUGGGCGUAAAGGGCGCGUAGGCGGCUUGAUAAGUCGGGGGUGAAAGCCUGUGGCUCAACCACAGAAUUGCCUUCGAUACUGUCUGGCUCGAGACCGGAAGAGGUAAGUGGAACUGCGAGUGUAGAGGUGAAAUUCGUAGAUAUUCGCAAGAACACCAGUGGCGAAGGCGGCUUACUGGUCCGGUUCUGACGCUGAGGCGCGAAAGCGUGGGGAGCAAACGGG